rnacentral:rRNA from 1 species
AUUGGACGCUGGCGGCAGGCCUAACACAUGCAAGUCGAGCGGAUGAAGGGAGCUUGCUCCUGGAUUCAGCGGCGGACGGGUGAGUAAUGCCUAGGAAUCUGCCUGGUAGUGGGGGAUAACGUCCGGAAACGGGCGCUAAUACCGCAUACGUCCUGAGGGAGAAAGUGGGGGAUCUUCGGACCUCACGCUAUCAGAUGAGCCUAGGUCGGAUUAGCUAGUUGGUGGGGUAAAGGCCUACCAAGGCGACGAUCCGUAACUGGUCUGAGAGGAUGAUCAGUCACACUGGAACUGAGACACGGUCCAGACUCCUACGGGAGGCAGCAGUGGGGAAUAUUGGACAAUGGGCGAAAGCCUGAUCCAGCCAUGCCGCGUGUGUGAAGAAGGUCUUCUGAUUGUAAAGCACUUUAAGUUGGGAGGAAGGGCAGUAAGUUAAUACCUUGCUGUUUUGACGUUACCAACAGAAUAAGCACCGGCUAACUUCGUG